CAGCCUAAAAAGGUAACGAUGAACAAGAGGGAGAAAGCUAAGCAGCUUUAUUUAAGUCUCCCCCACUCUCUUCUUGUUGAGCUUAAUUUUUCCGAUCAUUUUCUGGAGUCUCCAUUCUUCCGAAGAAAUUAAUCACAGGCACCUUGUUUCUGCUCUUGGAAACUAUUGCAGAAAAAAUUUACUAAAAGGAAAGCUGUCUUUUAAUGUUAAAGGUAUCUGUCGGUCCUGAAACGAUUCAUGGAGUUAUUAUUUACAAAACUGAAACUUUAACCUGUGAGUUUUUGGAUUUGUGGGAUCAUUGAUGACCUGGAAAUAAUUAAAUGGAGAAAGUUUGCGAAUUCUGCAUGGCCUUGAGGCCAGUCGUUUACUGUAACGCUGAUGCAGCAUAUCUUUGCCUUUCCUGCGAUGCAAAGGUCCAUUCAGCUAAUGCACUUUUUAACCGGCAUCUCCGUACCCUCCUAUGUGACUCAUGCAGGAACCAUCCAGCUUACGCUCAGUGUUUGGACCACCGGAUGCUGAUGUGUCUUGGCUGUGAUCGGUGCCUGCAUGAGGUCUCCUCCCACCAUCAGAAACGGCUAGUCAGUAGCUACUUAGGAUGCCCUUCUGCUAAAGAUUUUGCAUCACUUUGGGGUUUUGAAUUUGGGGAUUUGGAUAAAAGUAUUGUUAAAGAUCAACUAGUUUCCACCCCAUGCUCUUCAUCUGUGCAGCCUAGUGCAUCAAAAUUUGACAUUCCAGGGAAGUCUUGCCAACAAAUUGGACGGUCUUCAAGAAAAUCUAGAGUGAUUCACUCAACUUUGGUCUCUGGUGCAGAGUCUGAUGUUGGAUCAGGCAAUCAACGACCUGAGUUAUCGUACAAAGGUCCACAGCAGGAAAGUACCUGCUUUAUUCUGGAACAGAUUCUUGAUUUGAAAAGGCUUGAUGUCAACAACAAUACUCCUAUGAAACGUGGUCAAGAACAAAAAAACAUUUCUUCAAUGCUGAAUACCUCAAAGAAGCUUGACUACAAUCUCAAUCAUUCACAACAUUCUCAAGAUCUUGUUACCAUUCUUCAACAAGCUGACUGCCAACGUCAGGGUCUAAAAGUGGAUUCUUUGCCUUUGCCAUUUUCUCAGCCAGAACAUUUACCUUUCUUUUCAACUGCCGCAAAUGCUUUGCCUGGAGAAUCCUUUUGGCCAUGCAAAAGUCCAAUAGAGAAUAGUCAGUUGUGGUCUCAAAAUAUGCAAGACCUUGGGGUUUGUGAAGACAUUAUUUGCCAUGAUGAUGAUUAUAUCAUUCCUGAUGUGGAUAAAACAUUUUGCAACUUUGAAGAAUUCUUUGGGGGUGAUCAAGAUCCAAUUGGAGCAUUUCUUGAUGAGAAUGAUUUCUCAUGCUCCUUCAUUGAGAAGGAUAUGCCUCCUGAGAAAUCCAAUAACAGUGAUGGAAGAGCAAGGAAGGAUGCUUCUGUUACUUCAUCUGUUUACAUAAGCUGCUCUGUUCACAUUGACAAUGACAAGGAUCCUUCCAACCAAGCUUAUAACUUUCCUGGAAGUCUUGAUCCUGCUCAGACAAUCAGGUCUCCUUAUUCAAGAUACUCCAUUUCAAGUCAUGAUGCUGAAAGCAGGAGUAAUGAAUAUCUUGACAGUGAACUUUCACCAUAUAUAUCUAAUGGUGAAGCAUCAUGCUAUUCACCCGACCUUGAGGAUGCACAUACAGAGGCCCGAGAAAAUGCAAUGAUGAGGUACAAAGAGAAGAAAAAGGCUCGGAUGCAAGACAAGCAAAUUCGAUAUACUUCUAGGAAACCUAAGAAUGAUGUACGGAAGCGUGGAAAUGGCUGAUUCGCGAAGCUAGAAGAUUGUGGCUGCUACAGUUGAUGUAAAGAUUUUAGGACGGACGAGGUUAGCUGUUGAUAAUGUUGGGCAUGGACAUCUAUAAUAUUUGCAAAACAAGUUUCCCUGUGGCCCUGUGGGCUCGAGAACCCUCCCCUAAGUAGGAUGCAAUACUGGUGUUUAGUUGCAAAUAAAGUAUUACAGUUAGACAAGAGGAAGAAGAUGAAGUUUGUAAUGAGAGAGAAGAUCUUGCUUUACCUUUGGGUUUAAGGUUAUUUAUAUAGCCUUGAACUCCUACUCCUAUUGUGUGUAUGUACAAGGAUAAAGUGUUGUGUACAUACAAGGAUAAAGCGGUCAAUA